rnacentral:rRNA from 1 species
CGGGGGCCCGCACAAGCGGUGGAGCAUGUGGUUUAAUUCGACGCAACGCGCAGAACCUUACCAGCCCUUGACAUGUCCAGGACCGGUCGCAGAGAUGUGACCCUCUCUUCGGAGCCUGGAGCACAGGUGCUGCAUGGCUGUCGUCAGCUCGUGUCGUGAGAUGUUGGGUUAAGUCCCGCAACGAGCGCAACCCUCGCCCUUAGUUGCCAUCAUUUAGUUGGGCACUCUAAGGGGACUGCCGGUGAUAAGCCGAGAGGAAGGUGGGGAUGACGUCAAGUCCUCAUGGCCCUUACGGGCUGGGCUACACACGUGCUACAAUGGCGGUGUCAGUGGGAUGCAAAGGGGUGACCC